UACGAAGGGGGCUAGCGUUGCUCGGAAUCACUGGGCGUAAAGCGCACGUAGGCGGCUUUUUAAGUCAGGGGUGAAAUCCUGGAGCUCAACUCCAGAACUGCCUUUGAUACUGAGAAGCUUGAGUCCGGGAGAGGUGAGCGGAACUGCGAGUGUAGAGGUGAAAUUCGUAGAUAUUCGCAAGAACCCCAGUGGCGAAGGCGGCUCACUGGCCCGGUACUGACGCUGAGGUGCGAAAGCGCGGGGAGCAAACAGG
rnacentral:rRNA from 1 species